GUGUCCAUCAGGCAACACACACUCUAACACAGGAACGACACAGAGAAGAUUAACAUAGCCCAUGUGCAAGGAGGACAGGCAAAUUCACGAAGCACUCCUUUA